UUAAAAUUAUUUCGAAAUGCACUCCACGCACUGCUGGAAAUGUGAAAUACAGCCCGGAGAGUUGGAGAUUUCCGGGGGUUUCAGUGGGUGUGGUGAGUUUGCCUCAGGGGGCGCGCAGAACCCUUGCUCAGGACUUAUCGAUUUGGGGAUACACACGAUAAGGCGAUUUCCGACCGAACCACGAGUCACUCAGCCAGCGAGCGCAGUGAACGUCGACCGUCGAUGUGUGGCGCUGCUAUGGAACUCAUUUGGGCGCUCGGCCGACGCUCUCAUCUCACUCCGCCCGUUAUGCUGGCGCUGCUGCCCGCGCAGCAUAAGGCGGCAGAGGCGGAGGCGGAGGCACUUACCCCGGGCCUUCUACAGACAGUGGGCCAACUCUUCCAGUGGCGUAGGGCUACCCAACAUAGGCCGAAAAGAGAGCCCAUUUAGGGCUCAUUUAAAAAGUAUCUCAUUUUUGAAUACAAUUCGAAUUUGGUGCGCAAAUUAUAAAACCAUCACAACGGAUGUCCAAAAGAAAGCAACUUAAUUAUUGACACUAAUAAGGUGUACAAUCCCAUAGCUUUGACUAUUAAAAAACAUUUAAACUCA